UACGGAGGGUGCAAGCGUUGCUCGGAAUUAUUGGGCGUAAAGGGUAGGUAGGUGGUCUCAUUUGUCUGGGGUGAAAGCCUUGAGCUUAACUCAAGAAGUGCCCCAGAAACGGUGAGACUGGAGUCCUGGAGAGGGUCGUGGAAUUCCCGGUGUAGCGGUGAAAUGCGUAGAUAUCAGGAGGAACACCUGUGGUGUAGACGGCUUUCUGGACCGUAGCUGACGCUGAGACACGAAAGCGUGGGUAGCAAACAGG
rnacentral:rRNA from 1 species